UACGGGGGGGGCAAGCGUUGUUCGGAAUUACUGGGCGUAAAGCGUGCGCAGGCGGUUGUGCAAGACCGAUGUGAAAUCCCCGGGCUUAACCUGGGAAUGGCAUUGGUGACUGCACGGCUAGAGUGUGUCAGAGGGGGGUAGAAUUCCACGUGUAGCAGUGAAAUGCGUAGAGAUGCGGAGGAACACCGAUGGCGAAGGCAGCCCCCUGGGUCGACACUGACGCUCAGGCACGAAAGCGUGGGGAGCAAACAGG
rnacentral:rRNA from 1 species